rnacentral:rRNA from 1 species
CAGUAGCCGCGGUAAUACGUAGGUGGCAAGCGUUGUCCGGAAUUAUAGGGCGUAAAGGGCUCGCAGGCGGUUUCUUAAGUCUGAUGUGAAAGCCCCCGGCUCAACCGGGGAGGGUCAUUGGAAACUGGGAAACUUGAGUGCAGAAGAGGAGAGUGGAAUUCCACGUGUAGCGGUGAAAUGCGUAGAGAUGUGGAGGAACACCAGUGGCGAAGGCGACUCUCUGGUCUGUAACUGACGCUGAGGAGCGAAAGCGUGGGGAGCGAACAGGAUUAGAUACCCGUGUAGUCCCUGUCUCUUAUAA